rnacentral:rRNA from 1 species
GACGAACGCUGGCGGCGUGCUCAACACAUGCAAGUCGAACGAUGAAGCCUAGCUUGCUGGGUGGAUUAGUGGCGAACGGGUGAGUAACACGUGAGUAACCUGCCCUGGACUCUGGGAUAAGCGUUGGAAACGACGUCUAAUACCGGAUAGGACCUUUCACCGCAUGGUGGGGGGUGGAAAGUUUUUUCGGUUUGGGAUGGACUCGCGGCCUAUCAGCUUGUUGGUGAGGUAAUGGCUCACCAAGGCGUCGACGGGUAGCCGGCCUGAGAGGGUGACCGGCCACACUGGGACUGAGACACGGCCCAGACUCCUACGGGAGGCAGCAGUGGGGAAUAUUGCGCAAUGGGCGGAAGCCUGACGCAGCGACGCCGCGUGGGGGAUGACGGCCUUCGGGUUGUAAACCUCUUUCGCCAGGGACGAAGCUUUUGUGACGGUACCUGGAGAAGAAGCACCGGCCAACUACGUGCCAGCCGCCGCCGUAACAC